rnacentral:rRNA from 1 species
GGCUCAGGACGAACGCUGGCGGCGUGCCUAACACAUGCAAGUCGAGCGGGGACAUACGACGGAACCAAAGUUUCGGAUGGAGGUGAAGAUGUAUGUUCUAGCGGCGGACGGGUGAGUAACGCGUGAGCAACCUGUCCCUUACAGGGGGAUAACACAGCGAAAGUUGUACUAAUACCGCAUGAGACCACGGGGAGACAUCUUUCAGGGGUCAAAGGAGCAAUCCGGUAAGGGGUGGGCUCGCGUCCGAUUAGAUAGUUGGUGAGGUAACGGCCCACCAAGUCGACGAUCGGUAGCCGACCUGAGAGGGUGAUCGGCCACAUUGGGACUGAGACACGGCCCAAACUCCUACGGGAGGCAGCAGUGGGGAAUAUUGGGCAAUGGGGGGAACCCUGACCCAGCAACGCCGCGUGAGGGAAGAAGGUUUUCGGAUCGUAAACCUCUGUCCUUGGUGAAGAGGAAGAGACGGUAGUCAAGGAGGAAGCCCCGGCUAACUACGUGCCAGCCGCUGC